rnacentral:rRNA from 1 species
AGAGUUUGAUCCUGGCUCAGGAUGAACGCUGGCGGCGUGCCUAACACAUGCAAGUCGAACGAAGCUUGACGGAUGAUUUCUUCGGAAUGAAACCAGAUAUGACUUAGUGGCGGACGGGUGAGUAACACGUGAGCAACCUGCCUUUCAGAGGGGGAUAACGGCUGGAAACGGUCGCUAAUACCGCAUGAUGUGUUCGGAUGGCAUCAUCUGAACAUCAAAGAUUUAUCGCUGAAAGAUGGGCUCGCGUCUGAUUAGAUAGUUGGUGGGGUAACGGCCUACCAAGUCUGCGAUCAGUAGCCGGACUGAGAGGUUGAACGGCCACAUUGGGACUGAGAUACGGCCCAGACUCCUACGGGAGGCAGCAGUGGGGAAUAUUGCACAAUGGGGGAAACCCUGAUGCAGCAACGCCGCGUGAAGGAUGACGGUUUUCGGAUUGUAAACUUCUUUUCUUAGUGACGAAGACAGUGACGGUAGCUAAGGAAUAAGCAUCGGCUAACUACGUGCCAGCAGCCGCGGUAAUACGUAGGAUGCAAGCGUUAUCCGGAUUUACUGGGUGUAAAGGGAGCGCAGGCGGGACUGCAAGUUGGAUGUGAAAUACCGUGGCUUAACCACGGAACUGCAUCCAAAACUGUAGUUCUUGAGUGAAGUAGAGGCAAGCGGAAUUCCGAGUGUAGCGGUGAAAUGCGUAGAUAUUCGGAGGAACACCAGUGGCGAAGGCGGCUUGCUGGGCUUUAACUGACGCUGAGGCUCGAAAGUGUGGGGAGCAAACAGGAUUAGAUACCCUGGUAGUCCACACUGUAAACGAUGAUAGCUAGGUGUGGGGGGUCUGACCCCUUCCGUGCCGGAGUUAACGCAAUAAGCUAUCCACCUGGGGAGUACGACCGCAAGGUUGAAACUCAAAGGAAUUGACGGGGGCCCGCACAAGCAGUGGA